AUUGCUUCUCGGCCUUUUGGCUAAGAUCAAGUGUAGUAUCUGCAGCUGAUAUAAAAGGGAAGGCAAAGAGAAACAAAGAUGGCAGUGCUGCUUAAAAAUCUAU
rnacentral:snRNA from 1 species